UCUGGUGUCUAGGCGUAGAGGAACCACACCAAUCCAUCCCGAAUUUGGUGGUUAAACUCUACUGCGGUGACGAUACUGUAGGGGAGGUCCUGCGGCAAAAUAGCUCGAUGCCAGAA
rnacentral:rRNA from 1 species